rnacentral:rRNA from 1 species
AUUGAACGCUGGCGGCAGGCCUAACACAUGCAAGUCGAACGGUAACAGGGAUCAGCUUGCUGAUUCGCUGACGAGUGGCGGACGGGUGAGUAAUGUCUGGGAAACAGCCUGAUGGAGGGGGAUAACUACUGGAAACGGUAGCUAAUACCGCAUAACGUCGCAAGACCAAAGAGGGGGACCUUCGGGCCUCUUGCCAUCGGAUGUGCCCAGAUGGGAUUAGCUAGUAGGUGGGGUAACGGCUCACCUAGGCGACGAUCCCUAGCUGGUCUGAGAGGAUGACCAGCCACACUGGAACUGAGACACGGUCCAGACUCCUACGGGAGGCAGCAGUGGGGAAUAUUGCACAAUGGGCGCAAGCCUGAUGCAGCCAUGCCGCGUGUAUGAAGAAGGCCUUCGGGUUGUAAAGUACUUUCAGCGGGGAGGAAGGGAGUAAAGUUAAUACCUUUGCUCAUUGACGUUACCCGCAGAAGAAGCACCGGCUAACUCCGUG